GAGCGCGGGGCGAGCCGAGGGGUUCAGGGGGGAGCGGUUUGCUUCCCUCGCUCGGGCCGAGUGGACGUGCCGCCCGCUUGCCGUCUCCCUGUCGGAACAGCACCUUCUCGCUAAAGCGAUCGGAGGUCGGGCCGGGAGGGCGGGGGACGGAGGCGGGUCAUGGGCUGAGGGGGAGGGUAGGCGAGUGGCGGAAACCCUUAAAUUCAGAGAAGCAUCGAGAACCGGAAGGAGACCUUAGGAGGAAGAAACUGGGCACAGAUUGCUAUUACACCAAGGGGACAGAGCUAUUAAGUGGGAGAAGUGGAAUUUGAAUAAGCCAGGGUGCACAGAUUAGUGAGGAACCUAACUGGAACCUACCAACUAGAAACUCAACAUACAGGGAGGACAAUGAAGUAACCUUCAAAGAAACCAGUUCCUGUUGCCCUAAUCUAACAAGUUUCAACAAAGAAGUACACUAAAACUUUACUGCUAUGCAAUAAAGCACAGCAAACUGGGAAAAAAAAAAAAAAA
rnacentral:lncRNA from 1 species